UACGGAGGGGACUAGCGUUGUUCGGAAUUACUGGGCGUAAAGCGCACGUAGGCGGAUUUGUAAGUUAGAGGUGAAAGCCCGGGGCUCAACUCCGGAACUGCCUUUAAGACUGCAUCGCUUGAAUCCAGGAGAGGUGAGUGGAAUUCCGAGUGUAGAGGUGAAAUUCGUAGAUAUUCGGAAGAACACCAGUGGCGAAGGCGGCUCACUGGACUGGUAUUGACGCUGAGGUGCGAAAGCGUGGGGAGCAAACAGG
rnacentral:rRNA from 1 species